rnacentral:lncRNA from 1 species
AGAAACUAGUAUAAAUUGUAGCAAUUAUACUAAUUUCUUAGCAUUGUAUUUGGUUUAUUUUUAUCUACUAAAUGUUUAAUAAUUCAUGUUUUAUAAUUGAAUAUCAUUUAUUAGAUGAAAACAAUGUUUUUGAGAAAUAAAGAAAUAACAAAAUUGAUUGCUGUAUUUGAAAGUUUAAUGCUGCUGAAUCUGUGUGAGAUAUUAAGAGUUAAGAGUUCAUCACAGGUUAAACUAGGGCUGCAACCGAUACUUCAGUAUUUUUGUAUUAGAUACAUUUUUUCAAUAUUACCCAUUAAUAUUUACAGAAAACAUAGAAUUAUAAAUGGUAUCAUUUUUUAUAUUUAUAGUAAUUGAGGAGUUC